UACAGGGGGUGCAAACGUUGCUCGGAAUCAUUGGGCGUAAAGCGCACGUAGGCGGUUCGUUAUGUCGGAUGUGAAGCCCUUGGCUUAACCGAGGAAGUGCAUCCGAAACUGGCGAGCUAGAGUACUAAAGAGGAUCGCGGAAUUCCCGGUGUAGAGGUGAAAUUCGUAGAUAUCGGGAGGAACACCAGUGGCGAAGGCGGCGAUCUGGGAAGAUACUGACGCUGAGGUGCGAAAGCGUGGGGAGCAAAUAGGG
rnacentral:rRNA from 1 species